rnacentral:rRNA from 1 species
GAUGAACGCUGGCGGCGUGCCUAAUACAUGCAAGUCGAGCGGACAGACGAGGAGCUUGCUCCUCUGACGUUAGCGGCGGACGGGUGAGUAACACGUGGAUAACCUACCUAUAAGACUGGGAUAACUUCGGGAAACCGGAGCUAAUACCGGAUAAUAUAUUGAACCGCAUGGUUCAAUAGUGAAAGACGGUUUUGCUGUCACUUAUAGGUGGAUCCGCGCCGCAUUAGCUAGUUGGUAAGGUAACGGCUUACCAAGGCAACGAUGCGUAGCCGACCUGAGAGGGUGAUCGGCCACACUGGAACUGAGACACGGUCCAGACUCCUACGGGAGGCAGCAGUAGGGAAUCUUCCGCAAUGGGCGAAAGCCUGACGGAGCAACGCCGCGUGAGUGAUGAAGGUCUUCGGAUCGUAAAACUCUGUUAUUAGGGAAGAACAAAUGUGUAAGUAACUAUGCACGUCUUGACGGUACCUAAUCAGAAAGCCACGGCUAACUACGUG